GACGAACGCUGGCGGCGUGCCUAAUACAUGCAAGUUGAGCGCUGAAGGUUGGUACUUGUACCAACUGGAUGAGCAGCGAACGGGUGAGUAACGCGUGGGGAAUCUGCCUUUGAGCGGGGGACAACAUUUGGAAACGAAUGCUAAUACCGCAUAAAAACUUUAAACACAAGUUUUAAGUUUGAAAGAUGCAAUUGCUUCACUCAAAGAUGAUCCCGCGUUGUAUUAGCUAGUUGGUGAGGUAAAGGCUCACCAAGGCGAUGAUACAUAGCCGACCUGAGAGGGUGAUCGGCCACAUUGGGACUGAGACACGGCCCAAACUCCUACGGGAGGCAGCAGUAGGGAAUCUUCGGCAAUGGACGAAAGUCUGACCGAGCAACGCCGCGUGAGUGAAGAAGGUUUUCGGAUCGUAAAACUCUGUUGGUAGUGAAGAACGUUGGUGAGAGUGGAAAGCUCAUCAAGUGACGGUAACUACCCAGAAAGGGACGGCUAACUACGUG
rnacentral:rRNA from 1 species